AGGGAUUGGAAGACUAGAGAUUGAUGAUGAACUAGGUAAGAAACAAGAGUUAUAAUCAAAGGUGGAUCUAAAAAUUUGAUUCUUGAAAGAAAAUAUAUUUUUAAAGAAGAUUGCAUCUAUGGACUCAAUUAUGGUAUUAGUGGAUAUAUCAAUAAAAUCAAAAUGAGUAACAAGGAAACGAUAGGUAUUACUAUCAGGAGGAUAACCAAUAAAGAUGGAAUCAAUAGUUUUAGGAUCAAUAUUAUGUCUUUUAGAUUCUAAAACAACAACUAUAGCUAAGCACCCC
rnacentral:lncRNA from 1 species